rnacentral:tRNA from 1 species
UCCCGGAUAGCUCAGUUGGAUAGAGCGUUUGGCUUCUACUUCCAAAUGGUCGAGGGUUCAAAUCCCUCUUCGGGAU